UACAGAGGUCCCGAGCGUUGUUCGGAUUCACUGGGCGUAAAGGGUGCGUAGGUGGUGAGGUAAGUCGGAUGUGAAAUCUCCGGGCUCAACCCGGAAAUGACAUUGGAAACUACCUUGCUGGAGGAUUUGAGGGGGGAUUGGAAUACUUGGUGUAGCAGUGAAAUGCGUAGAUAUCAAGUGGAACACCAGUGGCGAAGGCGAAUCCCUGGAAAAUACCUGACACUGAGGCACGAAAGCUAGGGGAGCAAACAGG
rnacentral:rRNA from 1 species